rnacentral:lncRNA from 1 species
UCCCAUUUUCUGUUUCAAACAUAAAACGCUAGUUAACCAAAAAACUGGGUACUAUGUUUCCCAAACUAAUAAUAAAACCAAUUAAAUCUAAAAACUAUAUUAAACCACCAAUAUUUCCCAAUUUUUUAAUUCCAAAAAUGCCCAUAUUUGUUUUUACUUUUUAUUUUCAUGACUUUUUUUAGUACAAAUUACAAGGUCUCUUGAAUAAAAGUAUAUAAGAUUUUCCUCAUUCGAUGUGGGUUCAUCUUUAAGUGUGAUCUUGCCCGUGAUCUAUAUUCAUAUACAAGGUUCUACAAUCUAAUUUUACUUACUAUAGAAAUAAAAAAAGGAAAGAGUUCUAAAGCCUAUCCUAGAAGGAUUAAAUCUCAAACUAGAUUUGAGAGUCUCAGAGCAGUAACUUCACACUGAGCAAAGUCUAUGCAACCGGUACAAUAAUACAUCACAAGGAGUUCAAGAUUUUUCAUCACAACCCAUCAUCUCUCUCAAAUUCUAUUUUCCCACGUCUCUUUUCUCAGCUCUC